UGCAGGUUUUGCAUCUGUUGUUCUGGCAGGGUCUGGUGCUGCUUUGAAUUGGUGGAUCCUGGUCUGUGGGGAGCUAGUGUCUGAUAAGCCUGGCAGGUUUUGGGGCAGAGUUGUUUGAAGGCCAGAAAAAGGGGCUGGGGAAAGACUUCUUUCAGGAUGUGGUUCCCAUCAAGUAUAGGUUGUAACUGUUUGAUGAUACCGUAAUGCUGUAAACCAGGUGCCAGCUCUUACCAAAUCUGUAGGCGUCACCUGAGCACUGACAAAUUCAUAGCGGAAAACAGACCAGCUCACUUGUAUGUUACUAUUGUUCAACAUAGGCGUCAGACUUGUAAGGAUGUGUUUUAGACUCUCUAUAAAAAACUUAUAAGACGCUGCAUGCGUUAACCUUACUUGUAAUGUCUCUAUUCCAUGCUACAAGGUUUGUUUUACAAUUGUAAAAAUGCCUACUCUGAACUUUUGAACUCAGAUGGGAAGAGUGGUUCUCCCCAGCCAUCCAGGACGACUACCAAAAUUAAGUGGACCAUUACAGAACUAAAGCUUUGUUCAUUCUCCCAUCCACCUAUGGAGAGGCUUGGCUACCAGUGUUGUCUUUGGUGUGAGAUCUACGGGCUUGUCUCCACUUACUGGGGGAUCGACGUGCAGCAAUCAAUCCACCAAGGGUAGAUUUAGUGGGUCUAGUGAAGACCCGUUAAUCAACCGCCGAUCACUCUCCUGUCGACUCCAGUACUCCACUGGAAUGAGAAGCAUAAGACCCUACCACCAGUUUGAGGCUGUGUGCCCUGCUUCUGACAUCCUCCCUGAGGUUGGCACUCAUGGUCGUGAACCCUACAGACUGUGUGACAGAGAACUCAUAUUGUUCAUAUAGGAUGGUAGUGACAACUAGAGGUGUAAGCCCCCCUCCAGGACAGCAGGUGCCCUGAACAGCACAGCUGAAGGGCUGAGCCCUGAACUCUGAAACAGAAGCUGUCCAAACACUUAAAGGGAAGAUUUGAGAGAGAGAGCUGCAAGCAAGGAUAUUCUGAGUAUGUUUACAUAGGGUUGGUGAUCUAUGGUGUAGUUGGAAAAUUGGAAGAGAUGGUUCCAAUAACAGGUUUGGGGACAUAUGAGAUAAAAUUCCUGGUGGAUUUAAGCUGUUACAGUUUUCUGUAAUAUGGCAAAUUUUUAAUGGAAAACUCAGGGCACACAUUAAAAUACUGCAUGUUAGCGCACUAAUACACUUUUUUUAGACCCUAUUGGAAAUUCAUCCACUAGGAGACAGUCUGAGGCUAUGAGAACUCUUUUUACAAAGGUCUGUUUAAAUUAAGCUUGACAGAGGUCCCAGAGGUAAAUAACAAUGGCUACUCUGACUCCUAAAAGCAAUAACUGAGGCACACGUAAAAUAUAAUAUCAGCUGUUAUGUCUUAACAGGGACUAAAAGCAACAUUUAACAAGUGUUGUGUAAUGGCAGGUUUGAUGUUAAGAUCAAACAGCCUGUGAAUGCAUUUUUGAAAAACAUUCUAGAAUGGGUAUCAUGACAUAAAUUGCACAAUACUCAGGAGACUGUAGGAAGGUUUUACUAACAGAAGAAAAGACAUGGUGUUUGAGAACAAAGAGCACAAUCUGAGUAGAGAGGAACUAUAAGAUCAACUGAGCAAAGAUGGGGAGAAAUGUAAAUGUUUUAAGACAAAUAUAAAAUGCAAACUCUGGGUUGCUAAUAAGUAAACUUCAGGCUUGUAUUAGAAGUCUAUGACUGGAACUUAAAUUUACCUGCUGCUUUUCAGCAGUAAUCUGGGACUCAAAUCCUCCACAGCCAAGACUCACAAUGAUUACAUUAUUAUUGCAUGGUAUUAAAGUUCCAUAUUAGCCAGACUUCAGUGUAAGCUCAGUUAUUUAAGGUGAUAUAAGAAAGCAUGGAGUGGUGCCUUUGUCGCCAGCGUAAACUGAGCAUUCUCACCAAAGAAGGCAAGCCAUGUAAAAGGGAUACAACGAACACUAAACAUAUGAUCCCAAAAUUGGUAGUGACAGAUGUGUUUGAGGAUUAUUAUUAUCAGAAUGACAUCUAGUACUUCUAAUGGGCUAAAUGGAUUCUUAUGUUCAAGUGAGAAUCCAGUUAAAGGAUAAUAAUAGGCGAUAAUAAUAAGUAGUGUGGUUUAGAGGUUAAGGCAGAGUACCGAGAGAGAGGAGAUUUGGGUACUGUUACCAGUUUUGCUAUGGAACGCCUUAUAUAAUAUUCAGCAAAUCACUUAACCCCUUGAUUGCUCUAUAUCUAAAAUGUAGUUAAUAAUACCUGCUUGCAAGGGAUAUUGGGAGACUUAAUUCACUGAUAUUUGUGAUGUGCCUUGAGAUCCUCAGAAUUAGACUUGCUUACCAGAAAUACAAUGUAUUAGUUUAUUACAUUAAAUUGCCUGUUUUUGUAGUAUAACACUUUCAGGGCUAAUAUAGCGCUCUCUGAUAUUCAACUGUUGUUAAAAGAAGCAAAGGGCAGGCUCCUGUGCUGCACAUAUAGACGGGGUUGGCCAGUGCUGUAAUUGGAGCAGCCAGGAGUUGCUUUAGACCGCUCUCCCCCUUGUCGAUAGGCCGCUCCACAGCUGGCAGCAGAGGACAGUCCAGAGUGUCAGAAGCAGCUAG